GACGAGGGAUCCUAGCGUUGCUCGGAAUCAUUGGGCGUAAAGCGGGUGUAGGUGGCUUGACAAGUCAGGUGUGAAAGCCCAGGGCUCAACCCUGGAAGUGCAUUUGAAACUGUCGAGCUUGAGUGCUAGAGAGGUUAAUAGAAUACCUGGUGUAGUGGUGAAAUACGUAGAUAUCAGGUGGAACACCGGAGGCGAAGGCGGUUAACUGGCUAGACACUGACACUGAGACCCGAAAGUGCGGGGAUCAAACAGG
rnacentral:rRNA from 1 species